rnacentral:rRNA from 1 species
GACGAACGCUGGCGGCGUGCUUAACACAUGCAAGUCGAACGGAAAGGGCGUGCUCUUGCGGGGUGCUGGAGUGUCGAACGGGUGAGUAACACGUGAGUACCCUGUGCUCCACACUGGGAUAACUUCAUGAAACUGGACGUCAUAUCGCAUAUGAGCCCCGGCUGGAUGGUGUGUGCGGGAGAGUUGCGGCGGUUGGGGAUGGGCUCGCGGCUUAUCAGCUUGUUGGUGGGGUAGUGGCUCACCAAGGCUCUGACGGGUAGCCGGCCUGAGAGGGUGACCGGCCACACUGGGACUGAGAUACGGCCCAGACUCCUACGGGAGGCAGCAGUGGGGAAUAUUGCACAAUGGGCGGAAGCCUGAUGCAGCAACGCCGCGUGCGGGAUGACGGCCUUCGGGUUGUAAACCGCUUUCGCCUGUGACGAAGCGAGAGUGACGGUAAUGGGUGAAGAAGCACCGGCUAACUACGUG